rnacentral:lncRNA from 1 species
CCUGUAAUGGUGCACAGACCUAAGUGGAAAUAAGUCCCAUUGUACUCACAUGACUUUCUUUCUGAAUAGAAACACAUAGGAUUGUGCUGUGAAUCUAUAGCCCUGUGCCCUCUUACCUAGUGAGAAGUGGGACUCUUUGUGACACACCAGCUACAGUGCCCAUAGCAACAGGACAACUCCUCCACCAAUUGUGACAUCAUGCCAACUGGUCUUCCCAGUAACUAUGUGUAACCACCAGUUCCCCAAUGGCUAUCACAAAAUGAGAAUCCUUCCUCCAGGCCUCCUUUCUGUCUCGCAAACUGGUUCUUUGGAUGAGACACCAAUUUAUUGUAAGCCUCAGUAGCAGUUUCAGAGGUUGCUGCAAGUGACUGAACCUUGCACUCAGCAUUUUCCUGAGCCUUCCCUGAACAACUCUAAAUUCAUCAUACUGUCCGAGAAUCUAAAACCUCCUAAUGGUGGUAGUCAUUUCCACCUGGAGAAUAUGUUGGCACCAGUGCAGAGAUGAUAUGCCUUUAAUGCUGUAAUGUUAGAACACUUUGCUCUUCAUUGAGGGUAGAGUAUUAAUUUAUGUAAUAGCCAUUUGAGCUAACUCUUGAACCCAAAGGAGUGUGAUUUAAUAUCAAAGAAAACAAUCUUAGAGCCAUCACCUUAAGAAGAAAUUCCAGAGGUGUAUUUUCUUCUGGAAUAAUAAAAGGAAUCCCUUUCCACA